UGCGAUACUCUGGACUGAGUAAAACCAGAGGAUCAAGCAACUGGGUAAGGGAGCGGGAGUUGGAUAUGGUGAGCAAGCCUUCACUGUUAGAAGGACGCCUGAAAUAUCCAUCGAAGCACCCACUUAGGAAAAGAGCUUAUUGGUUUCCCGGAUCUGGGGUAUCGCA
rnacentral:other from 1 species